rnacentral:rRNA from 1 species
GACGAACGCUGGCGGCGCGCCUAACACAUGCAAGUCGAACGAGCGAGAGGGAGCUUGCUUUCUCGAGCGAGUGGCGAACGGGUGAGUAACGCGUGAGGAACCUGCCUCAAAGAGGGGGACAACAGUUGGAAACGACUGCUAAUACCGCAUAAGCCCACGGUGCCGCAUGGCACAGAGGGAAAAGGAGCAAUCCGCUUUGAGAUGGCCUCGCGUCCGAUUAGCUAGUUGGUGAGGUAAUGGCCCACCAAGGCGACGAUCGGUAGCCGGACUGAGAGGUUGAACGGCCACAUUGGGACUGAGACACGGCCCAGACUCCUACGGGAGGCAGCAGUGGGGAAUAUUGCACAAUGGGGAAAACCUGAUGCAGCGACGCCGCGUGGAGGAAGAAGGUCUUCGGAUUGUAAACUCCUGUUGUUGGGGAAGAUAAUGACGGUACCCAACAAGGAAGUGACGGCUAACUACGUG